UACUCCUACGGGAGGCAGCAGUAAGGAAUAUUGGUCAAUGGGCGCAAGCCUGAACCAGCCAUGCCGCGUGCAGGAAGACGGCCCUCUGGGUUGUAAACUGCUUUUGUACGGGAAUAAACCUUGCUUCGUGAAGCGAGCUGAAUGUACCGUAAGAAUAAGGAU
rnacentral:rRNA from 1 species